rnacentral:rRNA from 1 species
GAUGAACGCUGGCGGCGUGCCUAAUACAUGCAAGUCGAGCGAACAGACGAGGAGCUUGCUCCUCUGACGUUAGCGGCGGACGGGUGAGUAACACGUGGAUAACCUACCUAUAAGACUGGGAUAACUUCGGGAAACCGGAGCUAAUACCGGAUAAUAUAUUGAACCGCAUGGUUCAAUAGUGAAAGACGGUUUUGCUGUCACUUAUAGAUGGAUCCGCGCCGCAUUAGCUAGUUGGUAAGGUAACGGCUUACCAAGGCAACGAUGCGUAGCCGACCUGAGAGGGAGAGCGGACACAGGGGAAGAGAGACACUGCAGAGACCUACACGAGAGGGAGGAGUAGGGAAUCCUGCGAAAGGCGAGAGAGUGAGAGGGCGAAACGCCGCGAGAGAGAUGGAGGUUCUGGGAGUGUAAAACUGUGAUAAGAGGGAAGAAAAAAUGUAAGUAACUAUGCACGUCUUGACGGUACCUAAUCAGAAAGCCACGGCUAACUACGUG